AGCUUUGCACAGUGGCAGUAUCUUAGCUGAUGAGGUUUGUCCGAGGCACGAUUAUUGCUAAUUGAAGUUUGCUUUGUCAGUUUUUGAUUCGUGUACUUUGGGGCCCUGUUGUUAGG
rnacentral:snRNA from 1 species